GAUGAACGCUGGCGGCGUGCCUAAUACAUGCAAGUCGAGCGAACAGACGAGGAGCUUGCUCCUCUGAUGUUAGCGGCGGACGGGUGAGUAACACGUGGAUAACCUACCUAUAAGACUGGGAUAACUUCGGGAAACCGGAGCUAAUACCGGAUAACAUGUUGAACCGCAUGGUUCAACAGUGAAAGACGGUCUUGCUGUCACUUAUAGAUGGAUCCGCGCCGCAUUAGCUAGUUGGUAGGUAACGGCUUACCAAGGCAACGAUGCGUAGCCGACCUGAGAGGGUGAUCGGCCACACUGGAACUGAGACACGGUCCAGACUCCUACGGGAGGCAGCAGUAGGGAAUCUUCCGCAAUGGGCGAAAGCCUGACGGAGCAACGCCGCGUGAGUGAAGAAGGUCUUCGGAUCGUAAAACUCUGUUAUUAGGGAAGAACAAAUGUGUAAGUAACUAUGCACGUCUUGACGGUACCUAAUCAGAAAGCCACGGCUAACUACGUG
rnacentral:rRNA from 1 species